rnacentral:tRNA from 1 species
AGGCUCAAGAAGUUCAGUAGAAUAAAGGUUUUGUAAGCUUGAGGUGUAGUUAAUUGUUACCUGAGCCUA